rnacentral:rRNA from 1 species
UACAGAGGUCUCAAGCGUUGUUCGGAUUCAUUGGAGCGUAAAGGGUGCGUAGGUGGCGCUGUAAGUCGGGUGUGAAAUUUCGGAGCUUAAUUCCGAAACUGCAUUCGAUACUGCGGUGCUUGAGGACUGGAGAGGAGACUGGAAUUCAUGGUGUAGCAGUGAAAUGCGUAGAGAUCAUGAGGAAGACCAGUGGCGAAGGCGGGUCUCUGGACAGUUCCUGACACUGAGGCACGAAGGCCAGGGGAGCAAACGGG